CCUUUUACAUCUUCCUGGGAUAGGAUGCUUAUUGUGCAAGAAUAAAUGAACGCAUUAGAACGCACCCAUACUUUUUUUGCUACGAAUUGUGGUGUUGGUGUACCUGUCGCGAAAAGUUGGUUACGUUGCAAUUGGCAUUUUAUUAAUUGCAGAACGAAGACAAAUAGACAAAGGAGGACAAAAGUGCGACUGUAAAGAGAAGGCUAAAAAAAGUAUUUGUUGUAUUGAAAUUAUUCACUGAUCUGUCCAGCUAAGAUUUAUUUAUAUGUAAAUCUAAACAUUGAUCGUGCUCAACUACGAAAUGUAACUUAUUGCACUGCAUUCAUUAACCUAACAUAACCAUAUAAGCAAUCGUUAUUUUCAAUGAUGGAACGAAGGAAGUACGACGUUCGGAAUUUUCAUCAAUUUUAUUUAUCUAUAAUAAGAAAUGAUAUUCGACACGACGACGACUGGACGUAGGCGUCGUGAUCUGGUUCGUUAUCGUUAACAGUACAAUGUGGCAUAUGUACUUAGAAAUAUGAAAGAUGGAUUUGGUUAUAGUUAAACAGAAUUGAUAUCUUCUCUUUAAGUUUGUACAUUCAUUCUUCGAUUAAACGGUGUUCUUUUAUCGAAA